rnacentral:rRNA from 1 species
UGGGGAAUAUUGGACAAUGGGCGAAAGCCUGAUCCAGCCAUGCCGCGUGAGUGACGAAGGCCUUAGGGUUGUAAAACUCUUUUCGUCGGGGACGAUAAUGACGGUACCCGAAGAAGAAGCUCCGGCUAACUUCGUGCCAGCAGCCGCGGUAAUACGAAGGGAGCUAGCGUUGUUCGGAAUCACUGGGCGUAAAGCGCACGUAGGCGGAUAGUUAAGUCAGGGGUGAAAUCCUGGGGCUCAACCCCAGAACUGCCUUUGAUACUGGCUGUCUCGAGGUCGAGAGAGGUUGGUGGAAUUCCUAGUGUAGAGGUGAAAUUCGUAGAUAUUAGGAAGAACACCAGUGGCGAAGGCGGCCAACUGGCUCGGUACUGACGCUGAGGUGCGAAAGCGUGGGGAGCAAACAGGAUUAGAUACCCCCGUAGUCCCUGAGCGGGCUGGCAAGGCGCAU